rnacentral:tRNA from 1 species
GCCUGGGUGGCUCAGUGGUUGAGCAUCUGCCUUCGGCUCAGGUUGUGAUCCUGGGAUCGAGUCCCACGUUAGGCU